rnacentral:rRNA from 1 species
GACGAACCGUGCGAACGUUGUUCGGAAUCACUGGGCUUAAAGGGAGCGUAGGCGGGCUAUCAAGUCUGGGGUGAAAUCCCACGGCUCAACCGUGGAACUGCCUUAGAUACUGACGGCCUCGAGGGAGAUAGGGGCAUGCGGAACUGUAGGUGGAGCGGUGAAAUGCGUUGAUAUCUACAGGAACUCCGGUGGCGAAAGCGGCGUGCUGGAUCUACUUCUGACGCUGAGGCUCGAAAGCUAGGGGAGCAAACGGG